rnacentral:rRNA from 1 species
UGUAGCAUACAUGGCGUACUGCUCAGUAACACGUGGAUAACCUGCCCUUGGGACCGGCAUAACCCCGGGAAACUGGGGAUAAUUCCGGAUAACGCAUAUUUGCUGGAAUGCUUUAUGCGUCAAAAGGAUUCGUCUGCCCAAGGAUGGGUCUGCGGCCUAUCAGGUAGUAGUGGGUGUAAUGUACCUACUAGCCAGCGACGGGUACGGGUUGUGAGAGCAAGAGCCCGGAGAUGGAUUCUGAGACAUGAAUCCAGGCCCUACGGGGCGCAGCAGGCGCGAAAACUUUACAAUGCGGGAAACCGUGAUAAGGGGACACCGAGUGCCAGCAUCAUAUGCUGGCUGUCCGGAUGUGUAAAAUACAUCCGUUAGCAAGGGCCGGGCAAGACCGGUGCCAGCCGCCGCGGUAACACCGGCGGCCCGAGUGGUGAUCGUGAUUAUUGGGUCUAAAGGGUCCGUAGCCGGUUUGGUCAGUCCUCCGGGAAAUCUGAUAGCUCAACUAUUAGGCUUUCGGGGGAUACUGCCAGACUUGGAACCGGGAGAGGUAAGAGGUACUACAGGGGUAGGAGUGAAAUCUUGUAAUCCCUGUGGGACCACCUGUGGCGAAGGCGUCUUACCAGAACGGGUUCGACGGUGAGGGACGAAAGCUGGGGGCACGAACCGGAUUAGAUACCCGGGUAGUCCCAGCCGUAAACGAUGCUCGCUAGGUGUCAGGCAUGGCGCGACCGUGUCUGGUGCCGCAGGGAAGCCGUGAAGCGAGCCACCUGGGAAGUACGGCCGCAAGGCUGAAACUUAAAGGAAUUGGCGGGGGAGCACAACAACGGGUGGAGCCUGCGGUUUAAUUGGACUCAACGCCGGACAACUCACCGGGGGCGACAGCAAUAUGUAGGCCAAGCUGAAGACUUUGCCUGAAUCGCUGAGAGGAGGUGCAUGGCCGUCGCCAGUUCGUACUGUGAAGCAUCCUGUUAAGUCAGGCAACGAGCGAGACCCGUGCCCACUGUUACCAGCAUGUCCUCCGGGACGAUGGGUACUCUGUGGGGACCGCCGAUGUUAAAUCGGAGGAAGGUGCGGGCCACGGUAGGUCAGUAUGCCCCGAAUCUCCCGGGCUACACGCGGGCUACAAUGGAUGGGACAAUGGGUCCCUCCCCUGAAAAGGGCUGGUAAUCUCACAAACCCAUUCGUAGUUCGGAUCGAGGGCUGUAACUCGCC